rnacentral:rRNA from 1 species
UACGUAGGGUGCAAGCGUUGUCCGGAUUUAUUGGGCGUAAAGAGCGUGUAGGCGGCCAGGUAGGUCUGCUGUGAAAACUCGAGGCUCAACCUCGAGACGUCGGCGGAAACCAUCUGGCUAGAGUCCGGAAGAGGAGAGUGGAAUUCCUGGUGUAGCGGUGAAAUGCGCAGAUAUCAGGAAGAACACCCGUGGCGAAAGCGGCUCUCUGGGACGGUACUGACGCUGAGACGCGAAAGCGUGGGGAGCGAGCAGG